rnacentral:rRNA from 1 species
UCGGGAACUGUGAGACAGGUGCUGCAUGGCUGUCGUCAGCUCGUGUUGUGAAAUGUUGGGUUAAGUCCCGCAACGAGCGCAACCCUUAUCCUUUGUUGCCAGCGGUCCGGCCGGGAACUCAAAGGAGACUGCCAGUGAUAAACUGGAGGAAGGUGGGGAUGACGUCAAGUCAUCAUGGCCCUUACGACCAGGGCUACACACGUGCUACAAUGGCGCAUACAAAGAGAAGCGACCUCGCGAGAGCAAGCGGACCUCAUAAAGUGCGUCGUAGUCCGGAUUGGAGUCUGCAACUCGACUCCAUGAAGUCGGAAUCGCUAGUAAUCGUGGAUCAGAAUGCCACGGUGAAUACGUUCCCGGGCCUUGUACACACCGCCCGUCACACCAUGGGAGUGGGUUGCAAAAGAAGUAGGUAGCUUAACCUUCGGGAGGGCGCUUACCACUUUGUGAUUCAUGACUGGGGUGAAGUCGUAACAAGGUAACCGUAGGGGAACCUGCGGUUGGAUCACCUCCUUACCUUAAAGAAGC